rnacentral:rRNA from 1 species
CCUACGGGUGGCAGCAGUCGAGAAUCAUUCACAAUGGGGGAAACCCUGAUGGGGCGACGCCGCGUGGGGGAAUGAAGGUCUGCGGAUUGUAAACCCCUGUCAUGUGGGAGCAAAUUAAAAAGAGAGUACCACAAGAGGAAGAGACGGCGAACGCUGGGCCAGCAGCCGCGGUAAUACAGAGGUCUCAAGCGUUGUUCGGAAUCACUGGGCGGAAAGCGUGCGUAGGCUGUUUCGUAAGUCGUGUGUGAAAGGCGCGGGCUCAACCCGCGGACGGCACAUGAUACUGCGAGACUAGAGUAAUGGAGUGGCAACCGGACUUCUCGGUGUAGCCGUGCACUGCGUCGAUAUCGUGCG